GAUGAACGCUGGCGGCGUGCCUAAUACAUGCAAGUCGAGCGAACAGACGAGGAGCUUGCUCCUCUGACGUUAGCGGCGGACGGGUGAGUAACACGUGGAUAACCUACCUAUAAGACUGGGAUAACUUCGGGAAACCGGAGCUAAUACCGGAUAAUAUAUUGAACCGCAUGGUUCAAUAGUGAAAGACGGUUUUGCUGUCACUUAUAGAUGGAUCCGCGCCGCAUUAGCUAGUUGGUAAGGUAACGGCUUACCAAGGCAACGAUGCGUAGCCGACCUGAGAGGGUGAGAGGCGACACGAGAACAGAAGGUCGGACCAGGCUCCAACGGGCGACAGCAGUAGGGAAGCUGCGGGAAUAGGGGAAAGCGUUACGAAACAACGGCACGUGAGUGAUGAAGGUCUUCGGAUCUUAAAACUCUGUUAUUAGGGAAAAACAAAAGUGAAAGUAACUAUACACGUCUUGACGGUACGUGAUAAGAAAGCCACGGCUAACUACGUG
rnacentral:rRNA from 1 species